GCGCGAAAACUUUACAAUGCUGGCAACAGCGAUAAGGGAACCUCGCGUGCCAGGUUACAAAUCUGGCUGUCGAGAUGCCUAAAAAGCAUUUCAUAGCAAGGGCCGGGCAAGACCGGUGCCAGCCGCCGCGGUAACACCGGCGGCUCGAGUGGUAACCGUUAUUAUUGGGUCUAAAGGGUCUGUAGCCGGCCGGAUAAGUCUCUUGAGAAAUCUGGCAGCUUAACUGUCAGGCUUUCAGGAGAUACUGUCUGGCUCGAGGCCGGGAGAGGUGAGAGGUACUUCAGGGGUAGGGGUGAAAUCUUGUAAUCCUUGAAGGACGACCAGUGGCGAAGGCGGCUCACCAGAACGGACCUGACGGCAAGGGACGAAAGCUAGGGGCACGAACCG
rnacentral:rRNA from 1 species